AUCACGUGGGCGCCUAACUUUGUUCACUUGACAGUAAGUAGGAGGGCUUUCGGAAACAGGAAAACGAGUCAGGGGUCGGAAUAAAUUUUAGUAUAUUUUGUGGGCAAUUCCCAGAAAUUAAUGGCUAUGAGUUCUUUUUUGAUCAACUCAAACUAUGUCGACCCCAAGUUCCCUCCAUGCGAGGAAUAUUCACAGAGCGAUUACCUACCCAGCGACCACUCGCCCGGGUACUACGCCGGCGGCCAGAGGCGAGAGAGCAGCUUCCAGCCGGAGGCGGGCUUCGGGCGGCGCGCGGCGUGCACCGUGCAGCGCUAUGCGGCCUGCCGGGACCCUGGGCCCCCGCCGCCUCCGCCACCACCCCCGCCGCCCCCGCCACCGCCCGGGCUGUCCCCUCGGGCUCCUGCGCCGCCACCCGCCGGGGCCCUCCUCCCGGAGCCCGGCCAGCGCUGCGAGGCGGUCAGCAGCAGCCCCCCGCCGCCUCCCUGCGCCCAGAACCCCCUGCACCCCAGCCCGUCCCACUCCGCGUGCAAAGAGCCAGUCGUCUACCCCUGGAUGCGCAAAGUUCACGUGAGCACGGUAAACCCCAAUUACGCCGGCGGGGAGCCCAAGCGCUCUCGGACCGCCUACACUCGCCAGCAGGUCUUGGAGCUGGAGAAGGAAUUUCACUACAACCGCUACCUGACACGGCGCCGGAGGGUGGAGAUCGCCCACGCGCUCUGCCUCUCCGAGCGCCAGAUCAAGAUCUGGUUCCAGAACCGGCGCAUGAAGUGGAAAAAAGACCACAAGUUGCCCAACACCAAGAUCCGCUCGGGUGGUGCGGCAGGCUCAGCCGGAGGGACCCCUGGCCGGCCCAAUGGAGGACCCCCCGCGCUCUAGUGCCCCCGCACGCGGGAGCCACGAACCUCGGGGUGGGGGUGGGCAGUGAGUGCAGGGGAUGGGGUGGGGGGACAGGAGGGGGCUCUGGGGCCUGGGCCCCGGAAAAAUCUAUCUGCCCUCCCCCACACUUUAUAUGCGAAUAAACGCAGAAGAGGGGGAGGGGAAGCUUUAUUUAUAGAAAUGACAAUAGAGGGCCACGGGGAGGCCCCCCCAGAAGCAAGAUUCAAAUCUCUUGCUUUCUUCCUUAAAAAGAAAAAAAAAAAAAAAAAAAAAAAGAAAAAAAAAAAGAAAAAGAAGAAGGAAGAAAGAAAAAAACAGAAAGAGAAAUAGGAGGAGGCUGCAGCUCCUCAGCUCCUCGUUUUCAGCUUUGGCGAAGAUGGAUCCACGUUUCAUCUUUAAUCACGCCAGGCCCAGGCCCAUCUGUCUUGUUUACUCUGCCGAGGAGAGGACGGGCCUCGGUGGCGACCAUUACCUCGACACCCGCUAACAAAUGAGGCCCGGCUCGGCCGCCUCCGCCUCUGCUGCUGCCGUUGCUGGAAGACAGCCUGGAUUUCCUUUCUUUGUCCCCCACUCCCGAUACUCAGCGAAAGCACCCUCUGACUGCCAGAUAGUGCAGUGUUUUGGCCACGCAAAUCUCCUCAGACCGGCUGUUGGGGGAAAAAAGUGUUAGCCGUCUCUCCCGGAUCUGCAAGGGAGAAAAAAUUUGGAAUCAUAAAGUUGAAAACUUUUUUCUCUCAGUUUGGAAGAAGCCCUUCGUCAUGAAUGGGAUCGGCGGAGUUCGGGCGAGAGGAGGUGAGAGGCGCAAAGGUAACAAAGCCCUGGCCCAGGCUGGCGUGUUUUGAUCGUUUUAUGAGCUCUUUUCACAAGUGAAAGAAGAAACACUCUCUCGCCUCCUCCUUUUUCUUUUUUAACUCUCUUGGCUGGGUUUUUACGGUGGAUGCUUGGGCAGGUUUUCUCCCUUUUAUGAUGACUGAUGCUUGGGUCAGAGGGAGAGAGAGAGGGGCCUCGACACCUGGAGAGUGUUUGAAUUGGUUGGGACUGAGGUGUCAGGACCCAUGAAAAACCCCAGAGAAGAAGGUUGUUCUGUGAGGCAGUUCAGAGGCGCUUUUCUGGUUUUGGAAAAUGCAGGCAGGCACAGCGAGCUCCAGCAUGUGUGCAUGGGUGUGUCUAGUGAGGUCCACAUGUGGUCGGUGUGUUCCUGUGACUCUGCUUGUCUACACUGGGGACUGGUGUCCCCUAUGCCUAUCUGCUUAUCUGUCUCUCUGUUUACCGGUGCAAUGCUGUCACUGCUGCCUCCUGGAAAAAUCAAAUCCAGUGCUUGAAUGGAAUGUUCCAGCUUUGGAGCGGGUAUAAAUGGAUAUAUGUUCUUGUUUUUCUUCUUGUGUCUAGCUUGGGAUUCUAGACAAAUACGUGCUACUCUCUGGAGCAGGAAACUGCUCAGUUCACAGGCGAGGUGCACUGAUGCAGAAAUAUUUCUCUUCUGCUCUGUCCCCCCAGCCUUCUUCCUGAAGGAGCAAUGUUGGUUUGAUUUCCCUUUGCUCUCCUAAUUUGAGGUCUCUGUUCUCUCCUCUGCAGCCCUGUUUCUUAGGCUGAGGGAGUCAGUGGGCUCUGCAGCCGACCUGAAUGUGUUGGCCCUUUUUCCCUGAGGCCUCACUUAGGGUUUGGAGGCGGGAGGCUGGCAGGAGAGAGAGUUCAUGGAGAGGCCACGUUUUCUAGGUGAUUAGCUCAGUAUUAGAACCACAAAAUGACCUCGGAAGCCCCUUGACCUCGCUGAGACUGGACAUUGUGUUGGCUUUUGCCUCCUGCCCAGGAGGGAGAGUCACACCUCUGCAGGGAGAGGUCCUUGGCCCAUCAUAUGUCCCAUCUUCUCCAACCCCCUCUAGGCCCCAAACCCAUCUUUGCUAUUUUGAAACUUUUGGAUUAUUUUUCUCUUACUGUCCACUGGGGGAGAAGACUUAAAGAUUUUUAGCCCAAGGGUCCAGUCGGGGUAGGAAAAUAGGGUGCUUAUCUGUCUCUCUGUACACAGCACCUUCAGCAGUCCAGACUGCAGCCAUCCUCCCGGCACCACUCCCAGGUCCAGUUCAUCUCUUUACUGUUUCACUUGGAGGGAACUGAGGGAAGAAAGACAAAGGGAGAAGAUAUGAGAGGUUGGAGGGGCCUAAUCCACAAGGCUUCAGAGGGCCAGAGGAAUAAACUCCUGAGCUGCGAAGAGAAAGGGCUUCUGCCAUGAACAUUGCUUCAGAGGCUGUCAUCUCUCUGAGGGCUGACAUCCAAAUCCACAGCCUGUCAACCCAUUUUCUGAAGUUCCUUUGUUUAGGAAGCUAUUUCUACAAUCACCUUUACCUCUUUACCCUAAUUCUCAAUCUCCCCAAUAACCAAAAAAAAGCCCUUGGAGUGCCUCACCCACCAGAGGAACAAGGGAAAUGGGAGGAGGAUCAGUGUAGACUAUUCUGAGUACUUUCCAGGGCCUGCUGUCCCAGCUUAGCCAAAGUUUCCAGAAACUUUUAAGAAAUAGGUGGAGGAUUUGCCAAACAGUGAGCCCUGAACAUAGAGCCUUUCCAAAAACUGUAUUCUGUUUGCUGUAUCUUAAAAAUCCAUACCAGUAGCCACCCUCUUAGGGAGAGACAGAGACAAAGAGAAAGAGAGACAGACACAGACAGACGCUGGCUGGGAGGACGAAAUGUUCCCCUUCAGUUAAGACUAGGAGAGACAGAAACUUGCUGGGAUAUGUGGGUUGUUGGUUUGCAUUUUGUAAAUGGUUUCUUGAAAUUUGGGGACUCUAUUUCAGGCAAUAAAUAGCUGGAGUGGUUGAUAGUCUCUCCUUUAUCCCUGGGUGGCAUAAGUAGAGGGGCUGGAGGCCUCAGGAAGGAAAGAGGAUGAGCACAAAGCAAGCUAGCCUGCUCCUGGACUAAAAAUAUUUGGGGCUCAGGGAGAUGUGCAUUCAUUACCUAUAAGGGCAGACAGCCAGUUGUGGGCCCUCUAUAGGCUCAAGGGACAAAGACCUAGUCUCCAGGGACUUUACAAACUGCUUUCUGCAGUGUGAGGAUUAGGGCCCAUCAAAGGGAAAACGAGAGAGACCAUAGUCAGAGAAGGCUGGGGUUCACGAAGGAAAACUGCCAGAUCUCCCAUUUCCUUCACUCCAGACAAUCCUGGUGCCACUCCAGUUCUUCCAACCUUUUGAUUUCUUUCCCUCUUUCUCCCCAGUUCCCUUGGCCCUCCCCAUUCUCUCUCCUACUUCCACCCGCUUGUCCUGGGCAGAGGGGGUUGCCCAGUCCUGCCAGAGCCCUCGGAGGCGGCCCCAGCGCUGGUGGUGGGUCUCCCUGGGAAGUGGCGGCUGGGGAGGGGGUCUGGUUGGAAAACGGAGUUGGGAAGUUUCCCAGCGUGAGUUGAGCGCUGACGGAUUUGUGAUCAGCCAUAAAACUGGCGCGUUCAGAUUCGUAAAUCAAUCUCGCCUUUCUCACAGUGUAAACGUUCACUUUAUCGGCAGCAAGAAAGUGCUCGGCUCGCGAUCAGGCGCUUGUUUAUUUGAACAUGGACAUUCCCAGGAUCCAAAAAGAGUGUGGUCAUUUUAACAGAACCUGCCGGCAUGCCUUCGUGUCAUUUUGCUGUUCUUUUUCUUGUCCUUAAAAGUUAUUUCUCCGUUUUAGAGAUUGCUCUCUUCUCACAUCCAGCAUUUCUCUCUCCUCUCUCUCUCUGCUAUUUUUAUUUUAGACUUUAGCAGAGUGUUUUUCUUUGGAGGACCAUUUUUAAUGGAUUUGUGGCCAGAACCUUUCAGGGAGUUGCCCUCGCUGGAGCCGGGAGCAGGGCCCACAUCGGGAUCAGGCUGAAUUCAAUACCAGUCUGUGUUUUGUAUCUGGACAAUCAAAGCUGACCACCUCCCCUACAGAGUCCAGGCCUGGCCGGCGCCCCCACCCCAUGAGGCCAGAGCAGAUUCCAGUGCUUUUGGCUGGGGCAGAAGCUGUGCAGCUGCCACUGUAGCUGGAACCUCCGAGGCUGAGACCGGGGUGGCUGUUUCUUUGGGGUUUGUUAAGACAACCGGGUCCUCAACCUUCUCUCCACUGAGUUGCUUUUGGUUUAGACCCCUUCAAACAAGCUGGGGGAGGCCCCUCAGAUCCCUGCUCCCCUACCCUAAAGCUCAUUCUUCCUGGAUUCCCCGCCUGCCCUGGAGGCUGUGGUCCUGGCUGCCUCGAGAGCUGCUGAGGACAGAUAAGGCUGCGGCUUCUUCAGGAAUGUCUUUUCUGCUUCCCUUUGCAUCCCCACCCCCACCCCAUGCCCCGGCCGAGAACUCUGAUUCUUGUUGCACGUAACUGGUCAAGUUUGGGCGGGGGAUUGUUUUUGUUUUAUUUUGUUUAUAUUUGAGGUGAAGGGGUCUGUGUGUCUCUCUCUUUAGGCCUAGGGAAUAGAUAGUCCCUGAUAUUUAACCCUUUAACAGGCACAGCCGUUCCCCAUCUUUUUCCCAUUGAUCAGCCUCCAUUGUUUGUUGAUUGGAAGCUCGGGGUGCUAACACCUGGGAAAUAGGGAUCCUGGGGCUGCCAGGCUGACUUCAAAGCUUUUCGUCUCUUUUCCCUCCUCUCCUGUUCAAAUCUCCAGUUGUCUUCACUGGUGGGUUUGGGAAGUGGGGCGGGGGGGAAUGAGACAGGGUGUGACAUAGGUAGGGAGAGGCUGACAGUCCGAUUCUUUUGUGUAGAAACCUUAGUCCCAGUCUUUGUCUCUAGAAUCUAUUUUCAAACGGUCAGUCACAUUUGGUUUCCUAUAGUAGUAACAACACAACAGGGAAAAAAAAGUCCCCCUUGCGGUUAUUCUCAACUCUAAAAGCUCCAGAGUAAUCUCUUCACCCUGUCCCUUUUUUGCCUCUUCAAAAGGUACCAGAAAAGAUCAAAAUGAGAAUAAAGCCAGAAGUCCCAUUCUUUAUCCACUUAUACCACGGACUUAUGAAGUGUUUAUUUUCAAAGUGGCUCCUUCAGAAAUUUUGUCCAUUAUUUAGGAAGUCCCACUCAAAUAAAUACCCCCAGGAGUGGGGGAGAAAAUGCAGCUGGGGAAGAAAUCUUAAUCCUAAAGGAUGCAGAGAGAAGAACUGGAAGCUGAGAAAUCCAGGGGCUUGGAGAAGGGCUCUGUGCCCACCCCACCCCCACCCCCCAGACGCCCC